UACGUAGGCAGCAAGCGUUUGUUCGGAAUUACUGGGCGUAAAGAGUGUGUAGGCGGUGUUCUAAGUCUGUUGUGAAAUCUCCCGGCUUAACUGGGAGGGUGUGGCGGAAACUGGAAUGCUAGAGGAUGGGAGAGGUAAGCGGAAUUCCUGGUGUAGCGGUGAAAUGCGCAGAUAUCGGGAGGAACACCGGUGGCGAAGGCGGCACUCUGGGCCGGAACUGACGCUGAGGAGCGAAAGCGUGGGGAGCAAACAGG
rnacentral:rRNA from 1 species